rnacentral:rRNA from 1 species
GUGGUGGGGGAUAGCCGGCCCAACGGCCGGGUAAUACCGCAUAUGGUGCUUCUCUCGCAUGGGAGAGGCAGCAAAGCUGAGUCGCAAGACUUGGCGCCACAGGGGGGGCUCGCGGCCUAUCAGCUAGUUGGCGAGGUAACGGCUCACCAAGGCAACGACGGGUAGCUGGUCUGAGAGGAUGGCCAGCCACAUUGGGACUGAGAUACGGCCCAG